GGUUUCGUGGUCUAGCGGUAUGAUUCUCGCUUAGGGUAAUAACCUAAGCACAUUUGUUCUCCUGAACAAAAAACAUGCGAGAGGUCCCGGGUUCAAUCCCCGGCGAAACCC